UACGAAGGGGGCUAGCGUUGCUCGGAAUCACUGGGCGUAAAGGGUGCGUAGGCGGGUCUUUAAGUCAGGGGUGAAAUCCUGGAGCUCAACUCCGGAACUGCCUUUGAUACUGAAGAUCUUGAGUUCGGGAGAGGUGAGUGGAACUGCGAGUGUAGAGGUGAAAUUCGUAGAUAUUCGCAAGAACACCAGUGGCGAAGGCGGCUCACUGGGACGGUACUGACGCUGAGGCGCGAAAGCGUGGGGAGCAAACAGG
rnacentral:rRNA from 1 species